CGAUCCGGAGCCAACCACAAAAAAUACCAUCCCAGUUCGGAUUGCAGUCUGCAACUCGACUGCAUGAAGCUGGAAUCGCUAGUAAUCGCGGAUCAGAAUGCCGCGGUGAAUACGUUCCCGGGUCUUGUACACACCGCCCGUCACACCAUGGGAGUCGGAUAUGCCCGAAGUCAGUGACCCAACCGCAAGGAGGGAGCUGCCGAAGGUGGAGCCGAUGACUGGGGUGAAGUCGUAACAAGGUACC
rnacentral:rRNA from 1 species